AGAGAGUUAGGCUCCUACAAUAUCUAUAGUAUCGAGACUCCGAUACUAUAGUCUCAUUUUUGAUUUUAGAGUGUUCAAAUUAACGAUUUAUACCGUUAAAAUUGAUCUAGAAUAUUUGAAGUUUUUAGAAUAAAAUUUUAUAUUUUUUCGACAUAGUUACUUUAUGAUCAAAUAUUUUAAACUUGUCAAUUUGCAAUGGCUACUAUGGCUAGUUUGUAGUUGAAUGAUGUAGAAAAAUCUAAAUUUAUUAAUUUAUUAAAUUAUUUUUAAGUAAUAUUUUGAUGUUAAUUAAUUAGAUAAAAUAAUUUUAAUUUAAAAUUAUAAUUUUUAUUCCUUUGUUCCAAUCUAACCAUCCAAAUGCUAUUUAUCUUAUUUCUAGGAACAAUUCAAUUUUCAUCCAAGUGUAAUUGAUUUAGUUCCUGUUUAUACCUGAACUUGUACCCACUCAUAUCUGGAAUAAGCAAUUCUUAUUUAUACCCGAAUCAAACGCAGUCUAAAUUAUAUUUAACGGAGUGGAUCGCCCAUUCGGAAGCUCCAUCAUCGAAAAUAAUUUAUGAGUACGUACGAAGCGCUAUAUAUAAGAGUAUAGUAGUCGUGCGCUCUCUCUCUCUCUCUCUCUCUCUCUCU
rnacentral:lncRNA from 1 species